GAUGAACGCUGGCGGCGUGCCUAAUACAUGCAAGUCGAGCGAACAGACGAGGAGCUUGCUCCUCUGACGUUAGCGGCGGACGGGUGAGUAACACGUGGAUAACCUACCUAUAAGACUGGGAUAACUUCGGGAAACCGGAGCUAAUACCGGAUAAUAUAUUGAACCGCAUGGUUCCAUAGUGAAAGACGGUUUUGCUGUCACUUAUAGAUGGAUCCGCGCCGCAUUAGCUAGUUGGUAAGGUAACGGCUUACCAAGGCGACGAUGCGUAGCCGACCUGAGAGGGUGAUCGGCCACACUGGAACGGAGACACGGUCCAGAAUCCUACGGGAGGCAGCAGUAGGGAAUCUUCCGCAAUGGGCGAAAGCCUGACGGAGCAACGCCGCGUGAGUGAGGAAGGUCUUCGGAGCGUAAAACUCUGUUAUUAGGGAAGAACAAAUGUGUAAGUAACUAUGCACGUCUGGACGGUACCUAAUCAGAAAGCCACGCCUACUACGUG
rnacentral:rRNA from 1 species